AAGAAAAUUGAUGAAACUGAAACCGAAAGAGUUGUCUUUGAAGUUUUGAUUCAGUAUGACUAUUGGGUGUAAAGAUUAUGAACAAAUACCAUUGAUUCGACAAAAUUUUCAAGAUCGAAUGUAAGGGCUUCUCAUUCUCGUAGCCGAUUCUUUGGCCUCCCCCACGCUUCAGAGCGAUGUUCCUCAACAAAGCCGCCUCCAAAAUCCUUCAAAAAAGCCGCCAAAAUUCUCCUUAUACCUUCAUUCAGAAGUCCGGUUAUGUCGAUGUCUACAUGAAGUGGAAGAAAGAUUCAUAUUACGAUUCGAUCGAGCAUAUCCUCAAAUCCGCUGAACUCAAAUCCAUUCUCUCUCUCAAAAAUUGCAUCGCCCAAGACCCAAAUGGGUGCAUCCCAAUUUCCGCCGUCUCAAAGCGAGGGCUCGAAAUGGGCGUCUCGAUCAGGGUUGCAAGCUUUUUAAGGCUCUACCCAUCAAUUUUUGAAGAGUUUACAGGUCUGGAGUACAAUCAUCCUUGGUUCAGGUUGACCCCAAAAGCAGUUGAGAUUGAUGCCGAGGAAAAAAGGGUUUAUCAGAAUUGCAGGGAGGAUUUGAUUUGUAGGUUAAAGAAGUUCAUAUUGAUGAGCAAGAACCGCGUUCUACCUUUGAAGAUUAUUCAAGGUAUGCAAUGGUAUUUAGGGAUUCCUGAUGAUUUUUUGCAAAAACCAGAAGUUAAUCUUGAUGGGUCUUUUAAGUUAGUGAAGAUGGAAGAUGGAUUAGAGGGAUUAGCUGUGGAAUGUGAGGAGAAAUUCAUGUCUGUGAUCCAGAAAAACGCCAUUAAAAGGGGGGUUUAUUCUGGUGGAAGAAUGGAGCCACUUGAAUUCCCACUCUUCCCUUCAAAGGGUUUAAGGCUGAGGAGGAAGAUCGAGGAUUGGUUAAAUGAGUUUCAAAAGCUUCCUUAUGUAUCUCCUUAUGAAGGUUUUCCCCAUUUCGAUCCAAAUAGUGAUAUAGCAGAGAAAAGAUUGGUGGGGUUUCUCCAUGAAAUGCUUAGUUUGUUUGUUGAACAUUCAGCAGAAAGGAAGAAGCUUCUAUGCCUUAAAAAGUAUAUGGGUUUGCCUCAGAAGGUUCAUAAGGCAUUUGAGAGACAUCCUCACAUGUUUUACUUGUCUUUGAAGAACAAGACUUGUACUGCUAUUCUUAAAGAGGCUUAUUGUGAUAAAUCUUCCAUUGAGAGGCACCCCAUAUUGAGAAUCAGGCGAAAGUACAUCAAUCUGAUGAAGGAGUCUGAAGUGAUUUUGAAGAAUAGGAGGUUUAAUAAUCAUCUUGUUCAUAGAGAAAAUUUGGUGUUGGACUUGGAUUUGGAUGCUGCUGAUGAAGAUGGAAGAGAAAUUCCCAAGUGUUAAUGGUUGAGUGCCUUUAGAGAUGUUGGGAGGUUUGGGCACCGACACCUUUGGGAUUUAAAGAUUUUAGUACUUUUCCUUCACCUUUGGAGCCCUUUUGUGUAUUUUGUAGCCGGGUUUCAUAAUGAUUUGAUUUUUAUUUUUUGAAAAUACCUUGUAUUCUUUCAAAAGGUCAAGCCGUUCUUCAAGAGUCAAAGUGGUUCCUAUCCUAAUCUCUUGGGGUCGAAACAGGAAGGAUAAACAAACCCUAAUGAGAUUACAUUACUGAUUGAGUACUCCCUGAGGGGACCGAGUGGCGGCCUCGACCUGAGUGGAAGUGCGAUGUGUUUGGAAACUCGAACCCAGAUUUCUUGUUUCAUUGAGAUCCAUAGAAAACCGUGUCACCAAAAAUCAACCAAAGAUGAAGAUGAGGGCUGGCAGUUUACAAAUGCUUGGUUGCUUGAAACUUCAAUUUAGGCAGCAGGAGACUGACUUGCUGCAAAUGGGCAAACUGCUCUAUGACGAAGAGAACGAGGAAGAUGACGACUGUCCAAUUCUCCUUUCUGCAAGCAAGGAACAAACAAGUUUAGCAUGAUGAGUUGCGACCACACCUAGA